rnacentral:rRNA from 1 species
GAAUCUUGGUCAAUGGGCGCAAGCCUGAACCAGCGACGCCGCGUGAGUGAUGAAGGCCUUCGGGUUGUAAAGCUCUGUGGGGAGAGACGAAGGAAUCGGUUCUAACAGGACCGAAGUUGACGGUCUCUCCUUAGCAAGCACCGGCUAACUCUGUUCCAGCAGCCGCGGUAAGACAGAGGGUGCAAACGUUGCUCGGAAUCACUGGGCGUAAAGGGCGUGUAGGCGGGAAUGUAAGUCGGGCGUGAAAUCCCUAGGCUCAACCUAGGAACUGCACUCGAAACUGCGUUUCUUGAGUAUCGGAGAGGAAAGCGGAAUACCUGGUGUAGAGGUGAAAUUCGUAGAUAUCAGGUGGAACACCAGUGGCGAAGGCGGCUUUCUGGACGAUAACUGACGCUGAGACGCGAAAGCGUGGGGAGCAAACAGG